rnacentral:lncRNA from 1 species
GGGGAUCCUCGUGGGCUUUUGGGGUUUCUUUGCCAUUUGGGAUCCGCUGUGAACUUUAAACCAUUUUUAACACCUCCUGCCCCCAAUUCCUCUCCUUUUAACCCCAAAUUUUCUCUUCCAGCUCCGUCCCCCCCCCCAACCUGGAAGCAUGGGGGUCCCCGGGGCGCUGAUUUUGGGGCUUUUUUGGGUUUUUUUGGGGGUCCCCCCCCGGGUGGGAGCCGGGGAUUGCAAAGGGCAGCGCCAGAUCCUGAGGGGACCCCGCGGCUUCGUCACCGACGGCCCCGGCAACUACUCGGUCAACGGCAACUGCGAGUGGCUGAUCGAAGGUGAGGGACCCCGAAAUCCCCCAAAUUCACCCCAAAAUCCGCCUCGGCGCCCCCGAAAACCCCAAAAUCCCCCCCCAAAACCCCCAAAUCCUGUGGGGAACGAAGCUGCCCCAGCCCAAACUCUGCCGUGAGUGUGAGUGGGUGGUGGAGGGGGAGAGACCUCAAAAUGUGCCCCAAAAACCUCACAGAGACCCCAAAAAUGCCCAAAUUCACCCCAAAAUUGGGCUCAGCGCUCCCAAAAACCCCUCAGACCCCAAAAUCUCCUCAGAGAAACACAAAAUCCCCUCACAGAAACCCAAAAUCCCCUCUGAGAAACCCAAAAACAGCCCCAAAAACCCCUCAGGCUUCCAAACUCAACAAAGGUGCCCCAAAAUGUGCCCCAAAAACCCCAAAGACACCCAAAUUCACCCCAAAAUCUGGCUCGGCACCCCCAAAAACCCCUCAGACCCCAAAAUCUCCUCAGAGAAACCCAAAAUCCCCUCAGAGAAACCCAAAAUCCCCUCUGAGAAACCCAAAAUUCCCUCAGAAAAAUCCAAAACAGCCCCAAAAACCCCUCAGGCUUCCAAACUCCACAAAGGUGCCCCAAAAUGUGCCCCAAAAACCUCACAGAGACCCCAAAAACGCCCAAAUUCACCCCAAAAUCUGGCUCAGCACCCCCAAAAAAACUUCUGAUCCCAAAAGCCCCUCAGAGAAACCCAAAAUCCCCUCAGAAAAACCCAAAAUCCCCUCAGAGAAACCCAAAAUCCCGUCAGAAAAACCCAAAACGGCCCCAAAAACCCCUCAGGCUUCCAAACUCAACAAAGGUGCCCCAAAAAAAUCCACAGAGACCCCAAAAACGCCCAAAUUUACCCCAAAAUCCGGCUUGGCACCCCCAAAAAAACUUCUGAUCCCAAAAGCCCCUCAGAGAAACCCAAAAUCCCCUCAGAAAAACCCAAAAUCCCCUCAGAGAAACCCAAAAUCCCGUCAGAAAAACCCAAAAACGGCCCCAAAAACCCCUCAGGCUUCCAAACUCAACAAAGGUGCCCCAAAAAAAUCCACAGAGACCCCAAAAACGCCCAAAUUUACCCCAAAAUCCGGCUUGGCACCCCCAAAAAAACUUCUGAUCCCAAAAGCCCCUCAGAGAAACCCAAAAACAGCCCCAAAAACCCCUCAGGCUUCCAAUCUCCACAAAGGUGCCCCAAAAACCCACAGAGACCCCAAAAACGCCCAAAUUCACCCCAAAAUCUGGCUCGGCACCCCCAAAAACCCCUCAGACCCCAAAAUC